UACGUAGGGUGCGAGCGUUGUCCGGAAUUACUGGGCGUAAAGAGCUCGUAGGUGGUUUGUCGCGUUGUUCGUGAAAACUCACAACUCAAUUGUGGGCGUGCGGGCGAUACGGGCAGACUGGAGUACUGCAGGGGAGACUGGAAUUCCUGGUGUAGCGGUGGAAUGCGCAGAUAUCAGGAGGAACACCGGUGGCGAAGGCGGGUCUCUGGGCAUGGCCUGACGCUGAGGAGCGAAAGCAUGGGGAGCGAACAGG
rnacentral:rRNA from 1 species